GACGAACGCUGGCGGUGUGCCUAAUACAUGCAAGUCGAGCGGAGUUAGAGAAGCUUGCUUCUCUAACUUAGCGGCGGACGGGUGAGUAACACGUGGGCAAUCUGCCCGUAAGACUGGGAUAACUCCGGGAAACCGGGGCUAAUACCGGAUAAUCCUGACUCUCUCCUGAGAGUCAGUUGAAAGAUGGUUUCGGCUAUCACUUACGGAUGAGCCCGCGGCGCAUUAGCUAGUUGGUAGGGUAAUGGCCUACCAAGGCGACGAUGCGUAGCCGACCUGAGAGGGUGAUCGGCCACACUGGGACUGAGACACGGCCCAGACUCCUACGGGAGGCAGCAGUAGGGAAUCUUCCGCAAUGGACGAAAGUCUGACGGAGCAACGCCGCGUGAGUGAAGAAGGUUUUCGGAUCGUAAAACUCUGUUGUUAGGGAAGAACACGUACGAGAGUAACUGCUCGUACCUUGACGGUACCUAACCAGAAAGCCACGGCUAACUACGUG
rnacentral:rRNA from 1 species